rnacentral:misc_RNA from 1 species
UCCGGCUUAUCACCGGCAUUCUAGCCCAGGUAAGGUUCUUCGCGUUGCGUCGAAUUAAACCACAUGCUCCACCGCUUGUGCGGGUCCCCGUCAAUUCCUUUGAGUUUCAGUCUUGCGACCGUACUCCCCAGGCGGAAUGCUUAAAGCGUUAGCGACGGCACCCGGGGACUUUAUAACCCCAGACACCAAGCAUUCAUCGUUUAAGGCCAGGACUA